GAUGCUAGCAGAUGACAUCAUAGACGUCGUCACCUAGCUUUGCCUUAGCGAUCUUCAGGUCUGUGAACUUUGACUCUGCAGCGCAGGGAGAGAUAACUGCGUCGGAGAGAACCACUCAGAACAGGAACGGACAACGUGUCUGAUUUUCUCUGAUGACCAUAGAUGAGGAUGCUAUAUGUGUCAUUUGUGACCGAACGAGGGUUUGUACAAGAAUGUCUGCUUGCAGAUGUGUAUGUGCAUGUACCUUUAAAAAAGAUACUACAGAUAAAUUUUGUUAUUAAACGAAAAUGGACAUUUGU